rnacentral:lncRNA from 13 species
UCUCAUGAUAUAAGAGGUACGGACCAUGUGGCAGCCAGAGGAACACAGAGGACCCCAUUUGGACGUGGCCAACUCCAGCCGGCUGUGGGGACAGGAAGGGUCCUGGCUAGGAUCCCUGACAUCGGGCCCAUCCAGGCAGGAGCUAGCUGCUGACAGGGGCUCUGCAAGUCUUAUCAGCCGACAAGGAAAGGAAAAUCAUCCAAGAAAGGAAGCAGGAGUCCUUCAGACAGUGAGACAGUGUCCCUCCUUUGGGGGUGGGGAAUGCAUUCCUUCUUGGAUUGACUUUCUGUCACAGCCUUUAAAACUAGGCACCCCCUUUCCCAAACAUGGCCUGCUCAGGAGACCCCUCGUCCAAGUGUGCCCCCACACCCAGUGUCUGCUUCUCAGAGAUCCCAGCCCAGCAGUCAGGUGGAGGCUGGGUAUGCCCAGUGGGUCUGGGUAACCCAGCUCCCUUAUCUCCCUCUGCCCCUCUGCUUGCAUCCCCCACUUUCCAGAUGCACCCACACCUCAGCAAGAGCAAAUACAUGUUCUGUGCUUCUGUUUCCCUCCCUCCAUGCUCCUAUUCUCUUUGUCCCAACCCCUGGGCCUUUAUAAGGUAGAAUUGGGUGUGAAAGAGCAGAAUGCACAGGCAUCCUCCAAGGCCAGCUCUGACAAGCACACCUCCUGGUCUACAGAAGGAGCUCCUAAGGGAGGAAGGGCGAAACCUGUAAGCCCAUGGAGCAUCUUAGACAUAAAGCAAGCAGGUGGUUCUUACUAGGGUGCUUUUGGAAAUUGAUGAGUUGUCUUCAGCUGCCAUCAUUGAGAAUUCCCACUGGGCUACCGACAUUUGGAGGGAAGAGCCAGGGGUGACAGAUGCUCUGUAGUGAGGGGACAGUCCUAUACAACAUAGAGCAUUACCCCAGACCUCGUAUGGUCUUCUAAUGCCAUACAGACAUUUAUGUAGGACCUAUUGCCCAUCUACAAAAAUAGACACUUUCUCAUUUUUCCACUGGGAUAAUCUAAACUUUGUCUUAGACUACUAUCUCUAUUUUACUUAAGGUCGUGUUUUUGCUAUUUCUUAUCCUGUACAAAGGUCUGUUCAUUCUUAUCCAAAUGGUGGUUUUCAUUUUAGCAUUUGCCCAUAUCUGUGAUCUUUCAUUUUCUUUUCCUUUUUGUGCAUAAUUCCCUCUGAUCAGUUCUUAAAUCCAAACUUAUUCAUUCACAGUAAAAGUAAGCAUCUGACUACUUCAUGAGGAGUCAUAGCAUGGUCAUUGCCAAGAUACAGAAACAAGUGCCAUUUUAUAUCAGCUCUUUAGGUUCCAAUGGUACAAAAUAUGAAAAUAGACACUUUCUCAUUUUUCCACUGGGAAAGUGAUUGUCUCUCCUAUUCCAGUCCCCAGUUUACCACCCCCAAAGCACUACUGUUAGAUGUUUCUUUUUUUUUUUUGAGACGGAGUUUUGCU